rnacentral:lncRNA from 1 species
CAGAUUUCUAUUUUUUCCUGUAGGAGACCUGUUUAUCUGUGCAACAAUCUAUUCAAGGGCCACUGGGACACUAUGCUGUUAAUGUAACAUCUGCAGCCAAGCUCUGCAGUCAAAGUCUAUGCAACAGUCAUGGAAGAUGUGUUCGAAAAACACCUGAAUCCUCCUCUUAUCUGCAUAUGCCUGAAAGCAGCAGAAAGAAAUAUGUUCCACAAAAGAGCUUCAGAUUUGUCAUUUCUGAAAAGAGCAAACUGCAGACAAUAAUGGACAUGAAGAAUAGAUUUGUGUGUCACUGCUAUUAUAGCUGGGGUGGAGAGUCUUGCCAUCUUCCCUCCUCAGAUUUCUUGAGUUGGAAGAACAAGGCUCCUGAUGCUAACUUUAACUUCCCAGUUUUUCUUGGCAUGAACUUAUCUGUGCUUCUGAUGAAAUUUCUUUCCUCCCUACUACA